AACGAACGCUGGCGGCAUGCCUAACACAUGCAAGUCGAACGAGACCUUCGGGUCUAGUGGCGCACGGGUGCGUAACGCGUGGGAACCUGCCCUUAGGUUCGGAAUAACUCCCCGAAAGGGGUGCUAAUACCGGAUAAUGUCUUCGGACCAAAGAUUUAUCGCCUUUGGAUGGGCCCGCGUUGGAUUAGCUAGUUGGUAGGGUAAAAGCCUACCAAGGCGACGAUCCAUAGCUGGUCUGAGAGGAUGAUCAGCCACACUGGGACUGAGACACGGCCCAGACUCCUACGGGAGGCAGCAGUGGGGGAUAUUGGACAAUGGGCGAAAGCCUGAUCCAGCAAUGCCGCGUGAGUGAUGAAGGCCUUAGGGUUGUAAAGCUCUUUUACCCGGGAUGAUAAUGACAGUACCGGGAGAAUAAGCGCCGGCUAACUCCGUG
rnacentral:rRNA from 1 species